UUCACCGCUUAUCUUGCGAAAUCUAGCGGGCCCUCCCUCCGCUCCCUCUGGCCUCUUAUACCCGCGAGAGGCGCCACCCGCAGCCCUGAGCUGAGCUGCAGCUGCGCGUGACCGUGGCCGCCUCGCCUCCCAAGCACUUCCCAGCAGUCAUGGAAAAAACUUCUACAGAUGUAUUUCCUUCUACUAUGAAUUCUUCAGAAAACCAAGAGACUGUAUGUAUUUUUGGAACUGGAGAUUUUGGAAGAUCACUGGCACUUAAAAUGCUCCAGUGUGAUUAUUCUAUUGUUUUUGGAAGUAGAAACCCACACAAAUCCAGUUUGCUGCCCAGCGGUGCAGAGGUCUUCAGCUAUUCAGAAGCAGCCCAGAAAUCGGACAUCGUAAUCAUAGCAGUCCACAGAGAGCAUUAUGAUUUUCUCAAGGAACUCACUGAGGUGCUCAAAGGAAAAAUAUUGGUCGACAUCAGCAACAACCUCAAAAUCAAUCAGUAUCCAGAAUCUAAUGCAGAGUACCUUGCUCAGUUGGUGCCUGGAGCCCACGUAGUGAAAGCAUUUAACACCAUCUCUGCCUGGGCUCUCCAGUCAGGAGCACUGGAUGCAAAUCGGCAGGUGUUUGUCUGCGGAAAUGAUAGCAAAGCCAAGCAAAGAGUGAUGGAUAUGGUUCGUACUCUUGGACUUACUCCAUUGGAUCAAGGAUCUCUCAUGGCAGCCAAAGAAAUUGAAAACUACCCCCUGCAACUAUUUCCAAUGUGGAAGUUCCCCUUCUAUUUGUCUGCUAUCUUGUGUAUCUUCUUCUUUUUCUACUCUGUUAUAAGAGACAUAAUCUACCCUUAUGUUAAUGGCAAGAAAGAUAGCACAUUUCGCUUGGCUAUUUCCAUUCCAAAUCGUAUCUUUCCGAUAGCAGCACUUACAUUGCUUGCCUUGGUUUACCUUCCUGGUGUUAUUGCUGCCAUUCUGCAACUGUACCGAGGUACAAAAUACCGCCGAUUCCCAGAUUGGCUUGACCACUGGAUGCUUUGCAGAAAGCAGCUUGGCUUGGUAGCACUAGGAUUUGCCUUCCUUCAUGUCCUCUACACACUUGUGAUUCCUAUUCGUUAUUAUGUACGAUGGACACUGAAAAACAGAACCAUUACCCAGGCAAUGGCCAAGACAGAAGAUCCAUUUAGCACCUCUACUGCCUGGCUUUAUGAUUCAUAUAUAGCUUUGGGAAUCCUUGGAUUUUUCCUGUUUGUACUCUUGGGAAUCACUUCCUUGCCAUCAGUUAGCAACACAGUCAACUGGAGAGAGUUCCGAUUUGUCCAGAUAAUAACUUUCGCGUCUUCCAUCGGCGGCUCCCUCAUCUCUUGGCCUCGUACAAAUGUUCCUGAACCAAAAACAGAACUCUAGAUGAGGUGUAGCCCGGCUGGAGGACAAUAUGAUCAUCUCUUCCUUAUUCUGGAUCAUUAAUAUGUGGAAACUGAAGCCCAAGGGGAUGAAGUAAUUUCUGCAAGGUCACAUAGCUACAUUGUAACAAAGCAGAAUUAGACCAGAGAUGACCUGAUUCCCAGGCUCGGAGUUUUUUUGGUCCUUUUGGAAGCACAUGACUCCAUUGAAAACAAAUUGGCUAGAGAUCAAAAUCAAAACGGUCAAAAGGACAGACUGAUCAGAAACAGUAGCAUCGGUGGCAGCCAUAGAGAUGACCCAUCCCAUGGCCCUUCAAGAGAACCUGCUGAUUGACAGCCUCCAACUGCCACAUCUUGGGAUACAGCACCUCAUCCACUCAAUCCACGAUCCACGUUGAACUUGGGCUGCUCCCGGCCCACGACUGUGCAUGACAGGGGGACUGGAUGCCAGCAAUGACUGCUUCGUGUAAGAUUUCUCUAAUGGGCAAGUUUUGUUUGAGUAUUUCCCAUUGCCCUACCCCAUGAGUCUUUCACAACUGCACCAGGAUCUGAAACUCUUCCUCCCUGAUCUUUCCCUCACUUUCACCUUUCACAGGUGUAAGACCUGCACUGCAGUAGGAAGGCUCCCUCCUGCCUUAUCCUUCAGGCAUAUCCUCUAAUGUAUCUCUUGUUCUACUUUGCUGUCUGCUUCUUGGAGGACCUAACUGACAAAGCAUCAGUGGAUGAAAAGUCACAAAGUCAAUUAUUUUUAUUAGAAUGCAUCUUAAAAAUCAUAACAUGCAUUGUGUCUGACACUGAAAUAAACCCUUUAACAAUUAGUUUCACUAACUAGUAUAUUAAGAGAAGACAGGCAUAAAUAAACCAAGACGCACGAAACAGAGUGUGUUGGGAAAGUGCUACUGGAGGUGGCAUCAACUUUCCCAAGCUCCACUCCCUUUCCCAUAAAACAGAAGAAAACAUGUGUUCCUAAAGAUUUAAAGACAUAAAAUAUCCUGCAAAACACACAAAGGAAAAAUACAUAUUUCUAUUUCACCGAAAAUUAUUAGACGGAUGGUCUCAGAGAGGGGCUAAAUGUGCUGAGGCACAGAAUAAAGAUGCCAAUCACCCUGGGCACAGGAGCAGACCCCUCCCCAUCUUCUGGCCACAAGCAAUGAUCAUAUUCUGCUUUGACAACAAAGUGAGGGAGCAUAAGCCACAAAGAGUUACCUAAAUUGAAUCUUCUGUUGGCUAGUUGAGCAGUAGUCCCAUGAAGAGUUAUUCCAAUUUAAAGAAUUAAAGAAUUGUAGCAUUCCUUAUACCCAGGAGUUGUACACCAAAAGUUAUGGAAAGAUAGAAAAUGAGAAGUGACUGAUGUCGAGAAAGAAUUGGGAAAAGAGAGCAAAAAAUGAGAAAUAAAAACUAAAUUAAAAAGAAUACACAUAUAGAUGCCAUAAAUGCAUAGAAAGGGAAAAGUGAAGGAACUCAAACACAGAUAAAGUUGUUGUUGCUGUUGUUACUGUUGUUAAGAUUUAGGAGAAAGUACUAGAAAUAGCCAGCAAACAAAGGAGAUAUAGUAUAAAUGCAAAUGGAGAACUGUAAGAUAACAUCUAGGAAAUGGAACAAAUAAGAUACUUAUGAUUGUAAUUCAAAAAAAUUUCCUUAAAAAAAGAGUUUUUCUGAAUUUAGAAAGUCUUGGAUCUACGUAUCAAGGAGAAAUGCUAUAUUAAUCUGUAAAUGAUAUACUUUAUUGGACAUAUCUUAGUAAAAUUUUUAAACUUCAAGGAUAAUGAAAAAAAUCUUUAGGUAGUCAGGAACAAUGAGAAUCAGAUUGUCAUCCCUUUUUUUUUUCUUAAAGAUUUUAUUUAUUUAUUUGACACAAAGAGAGAACAAGGAGGGGGAGAGGCAGAGGCAGAGGGAGAAGCAGACUCCCUGCUGAGCAGAGAGCCUGAUGUGGGGCUGGAUCCCAGGACCCUGGGAUCAUGACCUGAGCUGAACACACACACUUAACCAGCUGAGCCACCCAGGCACCUCUGUCAUCCAUUUUCUAAGCAGCAACAUUUUAAGGUAGAAAACACUGGAGCAACAACUUUAAGAUACUCAAUGAAAGAAAAUGGGAGCUAAGGAUUUACAUCUUGUCAAACUGCUCUUCAAAUGUAAAGGCCACAGGGGUGCCUGAGUGGCUCAGUUGGUUGAGCGAUUAAGCUUUAGCAUGGGACGCUUGAUUUCAGCUCAGGUCAUGAUCUCAGGGUCACGAUCCAGCACUCUUCAGGCUCCACCCUGGGCAUGGAGUGGAGCCUCUUAAGAUUCUCUCUCUCCUCUCCCUCUGCUCCUCCCACCUCUCUCACUCUCUCUCACCCCACCCCACAAAAAAAGUAAAGGCCAUAAAUAAAGAGCUGUAAACACACGAAAGCUCUUCCCAAAGAAGAAACUAGAAAACAAUCCAGCACAAGAGGAUUGAAGAAGCUUGAGCAUAAGGCUGACAGACAAGCACUGAAUAUAUUCACCUGUAGAACAAAGACUAAAAGAUAAGGGGGACAAAGUAGUGUAUAAAUUCCAAAUGUUCUGACGAUCUGUAAAUAAUCCAUACAAUUAGCAAAAAUGGGAAGGGAAAGAAAAGAACAUAAGGAAGAUAGUAGGUAUGAACUUCCCAGCUAUACCUUUUAUGAUACCCAAUCAAAGAAAAUGGAAGCUAAGGAUAUUUCCUGAAGCUGAUAAGCCAAAUAAUAGUCGUUUAAUUGUACUUAAAAAUAUACAGACUAAAAUUAGAUAAAACUACCAUGUUUUGUCUUUUGAAUACUAAAGAUCAAAAAUAAGACAAAAAAUGAAAUUGAUGGUGAGAAGAAGAGCAGAGGUGAGGUAGCAGUAACCAACUAUUUUAAGUACUGGUUCUCACAGGAAGUCACCGGAGAAGAUCUAAGUCAGAGAAGACUAAGGACAUUAGCACAGAAGUGAUAGAAUAAAAAUGAAAAGUAUUCCUAAUUAUCACCAGAUAUUAAGAUAUAUUUUACAGUCACUAUAAUUAAAACAGUGUGGUUCAGACAAGACACAUAGAACAAAAAAGAGAGUGUACAAAUAGACUCGAGUGUGUAUAGAAACCCAGUAUUUGAUAAGGUGGCAGCUCAAAUCGCUGAGGAAAAAGAUGAACUAUAAUAAAUUGUGUUAAGACAACCAGACAUAAAUUUGGAAAAUAGAAUAAAAUCAGGUCAGUACUUCAUACCAGGAAAAAUUCAAGAUAAAUCAAAGUUUAAGCGUUAAAAACUGAGAACAAGGGAGAAUUGUCUUAUCUCCUGAGUUGAGGAAAACCUUACUAAUUCAAUAUCUAGAAGCUGUGAGAGAAAACACUGAUAAAUCUAAUCACGUUCCUUUUCCUUAAAAUGUUGGCAUGACACGACACAACAUAAGGUAAAAGCUAAAGGUAAAAGACAAAUGGUAAACUGAGAAAACAUAUUUGCACUUAGAUGGCUAAUAUGCUUAAUAUAUUAAGAGUUCUUACAAACUGAGAAGAAACAGACUAACGACCUGAGGAAAAAGUGGCAAAAUGUAUCAGCAGCCGUUCUCAAAAGAAGAAACGCAAAUGGUGCCUAAAUGUAUGAAAAGAUGUCCAAACUCACUCUUAUUCAGGAAAUGCAAAUGAAAACGACAAUGAACUACAAUUUCUUAUAUAUCUGAUUGGCAAACAUCCCAAAGUCUGCCAACGUCCUCGACUGGCAAGGUUCUAACAAACAGCUAAAUUCCCAGCCAAAGGAAUUUGAUAAGAUCUCAAAAAAAAAAAAAAAAAAAAAAAAAAGACUAGCAAUCUAUCUAGCGGUUUCACUUCCAGGAAUCUACCUCCAAAAUAUUCCCACAAAAAUAAAAAAUGACAUAUUAAGAAACGAAUAUAACACGGUAUGAUAACUACCUGGAAUUAAAAUAAAAACUUUAAAAAAUGACAUAUGAAAAAUAUAUCUUUUCAAUACAUAGUAUGAUAACAUCUGGAUAAGAAAAAAGGAGAUAAUUAAUAUAUACAUAAUUCUUUUGUAUUUGCAAAAAGAGAAACUGAUAAAAAUGGUUAUCACAAGGUCAGUGGUCCUCAGAUAUUAUAUAAAAUUCCCCUUCAGAGCCUGACUCCCAAAAUUUCUGAUUUAGAAGUUCAAGACGGGCCUGAGAAUUUAUAUUUCUAACAAAUUGUUAAGUGAUUAUGCUGAAGAAGCUAUUCUAAAACCACACUUCACCUCCAAAAGUUAAAACAAAUGACAACAAACUUAUCAAUAUAUCAAAAUAAUGACAUUAUAACACAAGAAAUAGGUUUAUUUCAAGCGGUUUUUGAGGACGUUGAGUGCAUGUCUUCAGUGGAAUGUGUUCUAAUUAAAAACAGAGCUUCAAUUAAUCUUAAACUUAAUUCAGCAUCUUUUAGCAACAGUAUUAUGAAUUUGGAACUAGUACACGUACAAAUACACACAUACAUUUACGCAUGAAGAUAAAUCAAAAAAUAGUUCAAUGAUGUUAAGAACCAAAAUUAUUAGUGUAAAAGAAUUUAAAGAAAUUAAAUGAAAAUUCUACGAUGUUAAAUUUGAAUGGAAUACUGAUAUUCAAUAUCAGUAUUAUUUCAUUAUUUUUCUUUUCAAAGUAUGUAUUCUUUAGUUCUACAACUGCAAAGAUCUUGAGAACGGUGGCCACCCAAAAACAAGAGAGCCUCCAGUGACCACAUUCUGGUAUCUAAGCAGCAUUUCCCACUAAAAGGAACCACAGCUUUAUGGAAGAAUUCUGAUGCUAGAUUUGGAGAAGAAAAUGCAUUAAAAGAGUUUGUGGCAAGGUAUGCCAGAAAAGAAGGAGACAAUCAAAGAGUAACGGGAUAUAUCAGAAGCAAACAUCAACAAGCAGGAACAAAUAAAAGGCAAGAAUCUCAUUGGCAAAAACAUGCUAACAAUGAAAAACAACAGUAACUGAAAUUAAUUAAUUAGAAUUCAUGAUUUCAUUCCGUCACUUAAAAAUAAAAAAUCCCCAAUGCAUACACAUACAAAGAUCUAGUUGGUCACCACUGAUUUUUAAAUAUUUCCUUACUUUGAAAAUUGGCAGUAGAAAGAAAAGAAUUAGGCAUUUACCCUGCCUUCUCUGUUCUACCCAGUAACUAAAUAGCCCUAGUUGAAUGACAUAAAGUUCUUUUCCACAGAAAAAAAUCCAGUUAAAGAAAAUGAAAAAAAUAACUAGAAAAUCACCAUUUUGCCUAAUGAAAUAAUUCAGGAAGCUUUCAUCAGUAGAUGAAAUUUCUAAACGCAAAGUUGAUGGGUAAUUGUAGCAUGUUAGCAUCACAAAAGUGUGACGCCUAGACACUAGCACCAUGUGCUUUCUACGAAGCACCAGCACCACAAAUGCUUGCCAACAGAGUUGAACCUGCAUCUCACCAAGCAUUGAGAACCAACUUCAGUUAACAAGAAAUACAAGGGAUAGAGCAACAAGUUGAAUGUCACCAACAGAAAACACAGAGACAAAUCCAGAAUGUGGAACAUUCUACAGGACACGUAACCCAAUCUUUUCAAUAAAUCAACAACAAGGAAGAUGUGACACCAGAUCAAGAAAUUUAAACAAAUGCAGAGUGUGGUACCUUGUGUGAACAAAUCAGGCAUGGUCAGGUGUGGGAGGAACAGGUUUGGAGGGAGGAACUUUCCUUUUGGACAUGUCAAUUGUGUAAUGGGAUUAAAGGAGUCACCUGAGAUGUGAGUGAGAAGAAAUCAGCUCUAAUGACAGACAUGAUGCAUCCUAACUUUAGAUGGUGAGAAGAUGAGCAAGGUCCAGUAAAGGAGAUUGAGGUAGGCGGACAAUCUUGAAAGAGUGGAGAUCUGGAGGCCAAUGAAGAAAGUGGGUCAAGUAGGAAGGACUGAUGACUAUGACUAUAUAUGUCCAAUAUGAGGGAGGCUGAUCAUUGGAUUUGGCAAUAUGGAAAUCAUGGGUGACCCUAAUUACCCUAAUAACUCUGUAUCCCUGGGAAUAUUUUACACAUAAUAUGUUUAAAAAAUAUUUUAUUGAAUAAAUGAAAAGAUAUACCUAUCGACUGUAAUUCUGAAGUUUCCAUAGAAUUCUGCAGUUGAGCUACUUAAAAACAGAAUAAAAUAAGUCAUUUCUCCGAUUUAGCAAGACAAAAGUACAAAAGAAAUAAACUCCAUACAAACAAGUUGCCAAAUGCUAGAGAUGCACUAGUGAAAUUGUUCAUAUAUGAUUUAAAUUAAUUUUUAAUGGUGACUUUUGUGUUUAUUUAGAUGAAUAAUUUUUUUUGUUAAAAAUAAAUAAAAGCAAAACUCAUUAGAUAGACUGUGGGAGGAGACAGUAAUGUGUACCGUUAACAUAAAAGCAUUAGCUUCUAAAAGAUAGAUACAGUAAGAACCAUCCUGCCUCCAGCAUGACCAAUCAACCAGAGAUCUCAAGGUAGACCUUCCAAAUACCUGCUUAGAAACUGGCUUAUUUUCCCAGAUCUAUUCCUGUGGUUUUAAUUAAGCAAAA